UUUAUGAAUUAUCUAUACGAGGUUAGUGUUUCUAUUUUUACCUCUUUGCCUUUUAUAGUGAUACCAGGAACUGUUGAACUCUAGAUGAGAGUUAGGCAAAAGAUAGAACCCUCUAGCUUCUUCUGAUUUAUUCCCCUGUAACUAAUCAUCAUUGUUGAUUAUGGGCAAUAGGUAACUGUUAGGGGUUUUUAGCUUGACUUCUCUUUUAUGCUGAUUGAGGGGGCCCUUCGUGGCCAACUCAUGUGGUGCCUCUCUGCCUCUUAACUGCUUGUGAUGAAUUGCUAAUCAUGAUGAUUUAUAUGUGUAACUGAAAACAUUAAUGUGUGGCUUGCAUCUCCUGUGUGUCCUUCGGUUAAUUGCUUUAUUAGGAGUUAACACCUCCUUAAUUGCUCUAUUAUGCUGAUUCAAUAUAUAACUGAAAGAUAAAAGUUUUGUUUGGCUUGGAUCUUUUCAUUGCCUUCUUUUAUUUUAUCCAUUGCAAAUGGUUUAAAAUCUAAGCUCUAAUCACAUGUUAUUAUCAGCAAUGUAGGGUAUGGCUACUCCAUGAACAUAAUUGAGACGAGUGAUGUGUACAGUAAUGGUCUUAUGGAGUACUAUUAGUAUUGCUAGAGGUACUAAGCGAGCGUAGUGUCGUGGAAUCAAGUGUAGGAGGUGGUCAACAUAUAGUUGAAUCUGUUGAGAGGAAGAUAGGGAGUUCUGAACCAGACUGAAGGAAGUGAUCACACUACUAAUGGCAGUGAAGACUCAGCUUGAAGAAAGUAGCCGAGAUAUCCCAGCUUAUAACAAAAUUGUCCACAAAUUAGGGCUGAUUUUUGUCCUCCUUUUUGUUUCAUUAAUUCUUUCUUUUGCUUCAAAUUGUUAGUGAUUGAUUUUCAUCUAUUGCCGG
rnacentral:lncRNA from 1 species